ACACAGGCGGAAGUAUCAUGUCGUGAAUGGACAACUCCUAUUCGUUAUCAAAAAAAAGGGAACAACAUUAUUGUGAAUUUUAAAGAAGGACCUUCAAAGUGUGAUAUAAAAAGAUAUAAAGUAUCAAUUUUUCAUAUGAAUUUACCCCAUUUAAAAGCGGUGGCUUCCGAGAUAACCCCAAAUCUAACCCAGGAAUUUCUUGGAAUAUGUGAUGGAA